CUGGAAACAUUGGUGGCUUUGGCAAUGGUU
rnacentral:piRNA from 1 species